GCGGUGAUCGCAUAGCCUGGCCAUUGCGCUGGAUUGCUAAUCCAGUGGGUUAAGUCCCUCGGGAGUUCGAAUCUCCCUCACCGCGCCA
rnacentral:tRNA from 4 species